UACGGGGGGGCAAGCGUUGUUCGGAAUUACUGGGCGUAAAGGGCUCGUAGGUGGCCAACUAAGUCAGACGUGAAAUCCCUCGGCUUAACCGGGGAACUGCGUCUGAUACUGGAUGGCUUGAGUUCGGGAGAGGGAUGCGGAAUUCCAGGUGUAGCGGUGAAAUGCGUAGAUAUCUGGAGGAAUACCGGUGGCGAAGGCGGCAUCCUGGACCGGCAUUGACGCUGAGGAGCGAAAGCCAGGGGAGCAAACGGG
rnacentral:rRNA from 1 species